UACGUAGGGUGCAAGCGUUGUCCGGAAUUAUUGGGCGUAAAGAGCUCGUAGGCGGUUUGUUGCGUCGGCUGUGAAAUCCCGAGGCUCAACCUCGGGUCUGCAGUCGAUACGAGCAAACUAGAGUGUUGCAGGGGAGACUGGAAUUCCUGGUGUAGCGGUGAAAUGCGCAGAUAUCAGGAGGAACACCGGUGGCGAAGGCGGGUCUCUGGGGCAACAACUGACG
rnacentral:rRNA from 1 species